ACACUUCCUUCAAAGGAAUUGUGAUGUAUCUCUCUACUUUGCACCUAGGUGAUAUAAAUCUUUUCCCCUACUUAGACCCUGCUCACAGCCAUGUGCACAGGGGGCAUUGAGAAAUAUCUCUGGACCAAUCACCUAAAAGAUGUGACUCUCCUCACUUGCCUGGACUCUGCUCAGAAUAGAGAUUUCGACACAUCAGUGGGUUCAACACCUAGGUGAUGUGGCUCUUCCUUCUUUUCUGGGCUCUUCCAUCAGAGAAGAUUGUGACAUUUUCUGAGCCCAGCACUCAAGUGAGGUGACUUGUCUCCCUGGACUCUCCCCACAGACAGCAUUGUGAAAUAUCUUUGGGAUCAUCACCUAGGUAAUGUGAAUCGC
rnacentral:lncRNA from 1 species